rnacentral:rRNA from 1 species
GGGGCAAGCGUUGUUCGGAAUCAUUGGGCGUAAAGGGCGCGUAGGUGGUUCUGUAUGUCUGCCGUGAAAGCGUACGGCUCAACCGUAUUUUGUCGGUAGAAACUGCAGGACUUGAGGCUGGGAGGGGCUGGUGGAAUUCCCUGUGUAGCGGUGAAAUGCGUAGAGAUGGGGGAGAACACUCGUGGCGAAGGCGGCCAGCUAGACCAGUUCUGACACUGAGGCGCGACAGCGUGGGGAGCAAACAGG